GAUGAACGCUAGCGGCAGGCUUAAUACAUGCAAGUCGAGGGGUAACAGGUCUGUAGCAAUACAGAUGCUGACGACCGGCAAACGGGUGCGGAACACGUACAGAACCUUCCUUCGAGUGGGAGAUAGCCCAGGGAAACUUGGAGUAAUAUCCCAUAGGAUCAUAGAGUGGCAUCACUUAGUGAUUAAAGAUUUAUCGCUUGAAGAUGGCUGUGCGGCUGAUUAGGUAGUUGGUGUAGGUAACGGCUCACCAAGCCUUCGAUCAGUAACUGGUGUGGAAGCACGACCAGUCACACGGGCACUGAGACACGGGCCCGACUCCUACGGGAGGCAGCAGUAAGGAAUAUUGGGCAAUGGAGGCAACUCUGACCCAGCCAUGCCGCGUGGAGGAUGAAGGUCCUCUGGAUUGUAAACUUCUUUUAUUUGGGAAGAAAUGCCGAUUUUCUAAUUGGUUUGACGGUACCAGAUGAAUAAGCACCGGCUAACUCCGUGCCAGCCGCCGCGGUAACAC
rnacentral:rRNA from 1 species